GCUGGAAUCGCUAGUAAUCGCGGAUCAGAAUGCCGCGGUGAAUACGUUCCCGGGUCUUGUACACACCGCCCGUCACACCAUGGGAGUCGGAAAUGCCCGAAGCCGGUGACCUAACCUUUCAGGAAGGAGCCGUCGAAGGCAGGUCUGAUAACUGGGGUGAAGUCGUAACAAGGUAAC
rnacentral:rRNA from 1 species